CCGGUGCUUGCAUCGGGGAUUAGUGGCGAACGGGUGAGUAACACGUGAGUAACCUGCCCUUGACUCUGGGAUAAGCCUGGGAAACUGGGUCUAAUACCGGAUAUGACCUUCCAUCGCAUGGUGGUUGGUGGAAAGCUUUUGUGGUUUUGGAUGGACUCGCGGCCUAUCAGCUUGUUGGUGGGGUAAUGGCCUACCAAGGCGACGACGGGUAGCCGGCCUGAGAGGGUGACCGGCCACACUGGGACUGAGACACGGCCCAGACUCCUACGGGAGGCAGCAGUGGGGAAUAUUGCACAAUGGGCGCAAGCCUGAUGCAGCGACGCCGCGUGAGGGAUGACGGCCUUCGGGUUGUAAACCUCUUUCAGUAGGGAAGAAGCGAAAGUGACGGUACCUGCAGAAGAAGCGCCGGCUAACUACGUGCCAGCAGCCGCGGUAAUACGUAGGGCGCAAGCGUUAUCCGGAAUUAUUGGGCGUAAAGAGCUCGUAGGCGGUUUGUCGCGUCUGCCGUGAAAGUCCGGGGCUCAACUCCGGAUCUGCGGUGGGUACGGGCAGACUAGAGUGAUGUAGGGGAGACUGGAAUUCCUGGUGUAGCGGUGAAAUGCGCAGAUAUCAGGAGGAACACCGAUGGCGAAGGCAGGUCUCUGGGCAUUAACUGACGCUGAGGAGCGAAAGCAUGGGGAGCGAACAGGAUUAGAUACCCUGGUAGUCCAUGCCGUAAACGUUGGGCACUAGGUGUGGGGGACAUUCCACGUUUUCCGCGCCGUAGCU
rnacentral:rRNA from 1 species